UGUGUGGUGACCCGCACCUGAAUAUAUAGGGUGUGUGGAGGGAACGUCGGGAAGUGAAACAUCUCAGUACCGACAGGAAGAGAAAACAACAGUGAUUCCGUCAGUAGUGGCGAGCGAACGCGGAAGAGGCCAAACCUCAUGCGUGUGAUAGCUGACAGGCGUUGCGCAUGUGGUGUUGUGGGGCCGUUCUAGUCGUGCUGUCGAACGACUAAGCAGUAAGAAA
rnacentral:rRNA from 1 species